GCCCAAAUGGCUCAGUGGCAGAGCACUCCCUUGGUAAGGGAGAGGUCGCGGGUCCGAUUCCCGCUUUGGGCACCA
rnacentral:tRNA from 3 species